UACGGAGGGGGCAAGCGUUAUUCGGAUUUACUGGGCGUAAAGCGCACUUAGGCGGCUCUGCAAGUCGCAGGUGAAAGCCCUCGGCUCAACCGAGGAACUGCCUGUGAAACUGCACCGCUUGAGUCCGGGAGGGGGGAGCGGAAUUCCCAGUGUAGCGGUGAAAUGCGUAGAUACUGGGAGGAACACCGGUGGCGAAGGCGGCUCCCUGGACCGGUACUGACGUUGAGGUGCGAAAGCGUGGGUAGCAAACAGG
rnacentral:rRNA from 1 species